CGCGUAGGCGGAUGAUUAAGUCAGUUGUGAAAUCCCAGGGCUCAACCUUGGAACUGCAAUUGAUACUGGUUAUCUAGAGUCGAAGAGAGGGAAGCGGAAUUUCCGGUGUAGCGGUGAAAUGCGUAGAUAUCGGAAGGAACACCCGUGGCGAAGGCGGCUUCCUGGCUUCAGACUGACGCUGAGGCGCGAAAGCGUGGGUAGCGAACA
rnacentral:rRNA from 1 species